rnacentral:lncRNA from 1 species
CAGGCCGAGUACAAAACCUUCCCCUCAAACUCCUAGACAAGACAGAACUGAAUCUUGUGGGACCAACAAGUCUAUCUACAGGCCGAGUACAAAACCUUCCCCUCAAACUCCAAGACAAGACAGAACUGAAAGCUCUCCUUUCGAAAAAUCUAUAACAGAAAAAAUGGAAUACAUAAUGAAGGAAUUAUCAAAAUUGACAUUUUUAUCAGGGGAUA